rnacentral:rRNA from 1 species
AGUGAACGCUGGCGGCGGGCCUAAUACAUGCAAGUCGAGCGAACGGACGGUAAGCUUUCGCCUUUGAGGGUGGCGGCUGGCGGGUGGGUGAGGCGUACAUCGGCUUCUUAUUUUACGGGGGGGACUUCGUGGGGCCAGAUCUGAUACUACAGAAUAUGUUGUACGGGUGAGAGCAGGGGUUCAUGGCAGUUUGCGUGUCUGAUUGAGAUGAAGCCGGAUUAGCUAGUUGGCGAGGUAAAGGCCCACCAAGGCAACGAUACGUAGCUGAUCUGAGAGGAUGAUCAGCCACACUGGAACUGAGACACGGUCCAGACUCCUACGGGAGGCAGCAGUAGGGAAUAUUGCGCAAUGGGCGCAAGCCUGAUCCAGCCAUACCGCGUGAGUGAAGAAGGCCUUCGGAUCGUAAAGCCCUGUUGUUAGGAAAGAAAAGCUGCGUAUGUAACCCCGGCUGUUCUGACGGUACCCAAUCAGAAAGCACCGGCUAACUACGUG